CCUACGGGAGGCAGCAGUGAGGAAUAUUGGUCAAUGGCCGUAAGGCUGAACCAGCCAAGUCGCGUGAAGGAAGAAGGAUCUAUGGUUUGUAAACUUCUUUUAUAGGGGAAUAAAGGUAUCCACGUGUGGAUCUUUGCAUGUAACCUAUGAAUAAGCAUCGGCUAACUCCGUGCCAGCAGCCGCGGUAAUACGGAGGAUGCUAGCGUUAUCCGGAUUUAGUGGGUUUAACAGGCGCGGAGGUGGAUUGUUAAGUCAGUUGUGAAAGUUUGCGGCUCAACCGUAAACUUGCAGUUGAAACUGGCAAUAUUGAGUACAGUAGAGGUGGGCGGAAUUCGUGGUGUAGCGGUGAAAUGCUUAGAUAUCACGAAGAACUCCGAGUGCGAAGGCAGCUCACUGGACUGCAACUGACACUGAGGCUCGAAAGUGUGGGUAUCAAACAGGAUUAGAUACCCCGGUAGUC
rnacentral:rRNA from 1 species